GAUGAACGCUGGCGGCGUGCCUAAUACAUGCAAGUCGAGCGAACGGACGAGAAGCUUGCUUCUCUGAUGUUAGCGGCGGACGGGUGAGUAACACGUGGAUAACCUACCUAUAAGACUGGGAUAACUUCGGGAAACCGGAGCUAAUACCGGAUAAUAUUUUGAACCGCAUGGUUCAAAAGUGAAAGACGGUCUUGCUGUCACUUAUAGAUGGAUCCGCGCUGCAUUAGCUAGUUGGUAAGGUAACGGCUUACCAAGGCAACGAUGCAUAGCCGACCUGAGAGGGUGAUCGGCCACACUGGAACUGAGACACGGUCCAGACUCCUACGGGAGGCAGCAGUAGGGAAUCUUCCGCAAAGGGCGAAAGCCUGACGGAGCAACGCCGCGUGAGUGAUGAAGGUCUUCGGAUCGUAAAACUCUGUUAUUAGGGAAGAACAUAUGUAUAAGUAACUGUGCACAUCUUGACGGUACCUAAUCAGAAAGCCACGGCUAACUACGUG
rnacentral:rRNA from 1 species